rnacentral:rRNA from 1 species
UAUUAGACCUUAAAACCGAUUACAAUUUAUUGUAAUUUUAAAAUGAAUUAAAAUAAGUUUAUGAAUCGCAGAUCAUUUUGUGAUGAUAAGAAUGAAUUUCUGCCCUAUCAACUUUCGAUGGUAAUGUAGUGGAUUACCAUGGUGAUGACGGGUAACGGGGAAUUAGGGUUUGAUUCCGGAGAAAAGGCCUGAGAGACGGCCAUUACUUCUAAGGAAGGCAGCAGGCGCGUAAAAUUACCCAAUCCUAAUACGGGGAGGUAGUGACAAGAAAUAUUGAUAUUGGACCCAAAGGGUACAAUGAUUGAAAUGAGAACAAUAUAAAAACUUAACGAACUAACAAUUGGAGGGGCAAGUCUGGUGCCAGCAGCCGCGGUAAUUCCAGCUCCAAGAGUGGUAUAUUAAAAGUUAGUUUGCGGUUAAAAAAGCUCGUAGUUGAAUUUCUGAAAAUAAUCUUGUGAUUGAUUUAA